ensembl:lncRNA
CUGGCUCCAGGCGUAGAUUUGCAGCUGGAUCUGUGCAUUAUGCAGAAAGUGGCCCCCACUAAAAAGUCAGCACUUGCCAGCAAAUAACGUAUGUUUUCUUGCUUGAUUUAUUUGUCUGAGUCAGUCUCUCUGAUCUGCAUUUUAGAUCAGAGACUCCAGAAUCCUUUAGCACAGGGGAAAUAGCUACAGAGAAAAAAAAGAGAGGAAAAAGGGAAACUCUGUACAGCGUGUUACAGCAAUGCUCGGUGCCUGGGGAUAACACUUAAAAGUUUGCGUUCAGGUGCCUCUUCUAUCCCGUGAAGACCUGUGUGAAAAUUACUGAGAACUGAAGUGCCCAGCUUGCUUCUGGAGGAGUAAUGUGCUGCUGCUAGAACCUCAGGCAGACCAUUACUUGAAUGAGGAGACAGCACAGUGCCUGAGCCGCUACCUUUACGUCCUUGGAAAACAGGCGGAAACUGAUCCUGGUUUGGUUAUGCAGUUCGGAGCUAGUUCUUAAUGCUGACCAUGCACGGCUGUGGCACCUGCUUCCCUCUUACUCAGACUUCAACUGUUCCCUCUGCUCAAACUUGUGGCUGUCGUGUSCUUGGGAGCAGUGCCCACCGCAGGGGCGAAGUCAGGAACUGGAAGGUGUUUCAGGUAAGCAUCCGCUAAUGAUGCUAUUAGCUCUURUCCUGCCGUAACUCAUGGUUAUGGUCUUUGUUUGUAAAACAUGAGACAAAGACCAGGAUGAAAGAGACAUCAAAGCGUAACAGAAGGGAAAAGUGUGGAUUGAUGCCUUUACUAGGUAGCUCACCAAACACACUGAAGUCCUCCAGACAGAUGACAUUGAGGAGGGAAGGAUAAUGRGAGGAAAAAUGAGAAGCAAGAGGUGAGGAUUAUCACAUCCUCUGGAAUCASUGUAGCCACGAGACUUUGCAACCAGUGUGCUCAGCCUUGCACGUGGGCCUUCCAGAGCUGGUGAGAAGUUCUGAGUGGAGCCACAGGCUUGGCUGUCUUUCCAGCCUGCGGGGUCAACAGUCGGAGACUGCGGAAGGUGAGAGGCAGCAGAGGAGGAAACACAGUAGCGAUAGUGUCUGGAUCAGCAUCACAAAAGAGGAGGGACCAGAUGAGGACACCAGUGGUCUGAAAUCAAGCCAGCCUGGGACGCCCUGAUGGCGCUUGGGCAGGUAACAAGGUCCUUGUUAUUUCCAAGGGAGCAAAACCAUGAAGCAUCCUGGGACUGGUCAGGGACGGGAGAAUACAUGUAGCACUGCGAUGGGGAUGGUUGUUUGCAACCCAUGAGGGCAAGACAUGGCUGUGGGCAUGGGAAAGGUGCCAGUCACCCUUUUGGGUGCCAGAUAAAAAGGAUGCUGGAGGGGAGUCUUUCUGCAGCAGGUCAGCAACCAGAACGAUGUAUCUAGACCUGCAUGUUAGAAACACAAGGCCAGUUGUGGCAGUCCAGCAUGGAGAAGAUCAUGAUCCACUUGUAGGGCAGUGAUCGCUUUGUGCUGUCCCUUCUCUGUGUGCRCUUGGGACUCUUUGGAGUCGAGCUGGAGCUGCUCAUUGCCGGACGCAGGCUGAUCUUCUAGCUGCCAGCAAAGCCRCACACGUGGUGAGACAUCUGAGCACCUGAGCCGCCGCCAGCCCAGCCGUUCUGCAGGAGACACUGGCC